AUACGUAUGGGGCAAGCGUUAUCCGGAUUCAUUGGGCGUAAAGCGCGUGUAGGCGGCUUGUUAAGUCAGAUGUGAAAACCGGGGGCUUAACCCGCGGCGUGCAUCUGAAACUGGCAGGCUUGAGUCUGGUAGAGGAAAGUGGAAUUCCUAGUGUAGCGGUGAAAUGCGCAGAUAUUAGGAGGAACACCAGUGGCGAAGGCGGCUUUCUGGGCCACGACUGACGCUGAGACGCGAAAGCUAGGGGAGCAAACAGGAUUAGAAACCCCGGUAGUCC
rnacentral:rRNA from 1 species